rnacentral:rRNA from 1 species
ACGGCUCAGUAACACGUGGACAACCUGCCCUUAGGUUGGGUAUAAACCCGGGAAACUGGGUAUAAUACCCGAUAGGUCUCGAUUGCUGGAAUGCAUCGAGAUUUAAAGCUCCGGCGCCUAAGGAUGGGUCUGCGGCCUAUCAGGUAGUAGUGGGUGUAGCGUGCCUACUAGCCUACGACGGGUACGGGUUGUGAGAGCAAGAGCCCGGAGAUGGAUUCUGAGACACGAAUCCAGGCCCUACGGGGUGCAGCAGGCGCGAAAACUUUACAAUGCUGGCAACAGCGAUAAGGGAACCUCGAGUGCCAGGUUACAAAUCUGGCUGUCGAGAUGCCUAAAAAGCAUUUCAUAGCAAGGGCCGGGCAAGACCGGUGCCAGCCGCCGCGGUAACACCGGCGGCUCGAGUGGUAACCGUUAUUAUUGGGUCUAAAGGGUCUGUAGCCGGCCGGAUAAGUCUCUUGAGAAAUCUGGCAGCUUAACUGUCAGGCUUUCAGGAGAUACUGUCUGGCUCGAGGCCGGGAGAGGUGAGAGGUACUUCAGGGGUAGGGGUGAAAUCUUGUAAUCCUUGAAGGACCACCAGUGGCGAAGGCGUCUCACCAGAACGGACCUGACGGCAAGGGACGAAAGCUAGGGGCACGAACCGGAUUAGAUACCCGGGUAGUCCUAGCCGUAAACGAUACUCGCUAGGUGUCGGCCACGGUGCGACCGUUGUCGGUGCCGUAGGGAAGCCGUGAAGCGAGCCACCUGGGAAGUACGGCCGCAAGGCUGAAACUUAAAGGAAUUGGCGGGGGAGCAC